GUCAGAACAGAAAGCUAAGGCAGAAGCAGAGAGGAUGCAGUGAUCGCCCUGUCUUGGCUUUUUCUCUUUAGUAAGGAUAUUAUUAUCGCACAUGUGAGAUUUUACUUUCUGCUGUAGGCUGAAUUCUAGAAACCUGCGUUGGAGACUGGUUAUAUUCAACACGCACAUGGAUUCUGUGCUAUGAGUACCAUUCCCUUUAUUUCAGGUAAGCAAGCAUGAUUCUAUUUUUGUUGCAUCAGUGAAUCACGAUUCUGCCAAAUGAUGGCAUUUAAAAUAAGAUGUGCUUUGUAAUGUUGUAUGCAGAACUCAAAGGCUCAAAUGCUCUAAUUCUGGCUGUUCUGCGUUUAAAAACCUUCCUAUGCUAAAAUGAUCACUGGCUGUGCCAUGUUGUAUUUUCAAUGUUUUCUUCGGCUUCUUAGCCUUUCAUUUCUGUGGCUGUAUUUGUUUAACAUCAAAAGAUAAAGCUUGCAGAGUGAGGGAUGGGCCUUCUUCUCACAAGGGAAAUACUGAUGUUUAAUGCGUUGAACAAAUCAUAGAGAUGUAAUGAAGCAGACUAACAUGGCAGUGGCUCUGCCAGAGCCCACGGCUGAGCAUCCUGGGCACAGUUUUAGAGCUACCUCAGCAUCCUGAGCCCAAGGCCUUUUGAACAAUUGCUGCUGCUAGGAUGUUGGGAUUCUUUAUGUUUUUGUUUUAACCUUUUAGAACGGUAUGCAAGUCACUGCUAGCCCACGAGUGAAGAUUGAUGUAAUGUGUUUAAUAGAUUCCGAGUGACAGCACUGGACUCCCCCCUCCCCCCUUAGGAGGAGAACAGUGGAAACUAAUUAAUUGCUGGGGGAAAAUGGAUUAUCCUUAUCUGUGAAAAAAAAAAGACAGUGGGCAUUUAGAAUAGUUCCAUUGUGAAAAGUGUUCACAUUUUAAACAAUUUUAGGUCACGUGAUGUUAGCUAAAGAGUAGAAUGACUCAGGAGGUGGAAAUGGUAACAACCUUCCUUUUUAUCCUGGUUCCUAUGAUUAAAGACUUUCUUUAUGAUUAUCAGUAGAAGCAGAAAAUGAAAUAUAGAAAUGUCGUAUACAAAAGCCAUUGGUUGCCAUUUGGCUCAACAUUUGGAUUGAUUUGAAUAAAUUAAAAAAAUAGGAAUAUUUUUACAAGAUUGUUAACUGCUUCACUCUCUCUUGUUGAAAGACGUGUGUGUGUGUGUGUGUGUGUGUGUGUGUGUGUGUGUGUGUGUGGUGUAGGAGGCAGGCAGUGAGGGUGCAUGCAUUUGAGAUGUUUCUAUCUCAGUCAUCAUUUUCCUAUAAAAAGGUAGUUAUGCUAUGUUUGAGGUUGUGAAAUCUGUGAGUUUUCGGGAUGUUUAGGAAUACUGAAAAAAUAUUAUUUGAAUAUGUAGAAUCUAUGACGAGUUUUCCGUUAUACAGAGUUCAAUAAAUAGGAUGCUAUUUAGAAUCACAGAUUUUUAUUUGGCAUGUAUCCAUCUUCCAUUUAGAGAAGAGCAACAGUGGCUGAGAGGUUAUGUGGGUUUUACAUUAAGUGGAAUAUUACACUCAGAGUUCCUGUUAAAUUAAAAGCAGUAGGUAAGACUUAGGACCCUGAUUGGCAGGCUUCAAAAUCUCCUACAGCAAUUAUCUCCACUGUUAACAUAUUCCAGGCCUAAUCCAGGUCUACUGAUAUUGACUCUGGGGGAUGUUGGCUUGGCAAAUUCUGUAAAAUAAUUCCUUUCAGUGUGUAUUACUCAGUGGAUAAACAUACACAGGACUAAAUUUUCUCCAGGGUCCUUCCAAAAGCCAAAAGACAACAGCUCAGUUAAACAUUUGUGGAGACUGUUGUUUAAUAUUGUAUUUUCACUUUAGAUUUGGCGACUUUAUCUACCUUGUGCUCCUGAAUGACAAACAGCCUUAUAGAAGCUCAUUGUUCUACAUAUUCUAUUCUAUAGAAUGGUCUGUGUGCAUAUAGAGAGAGUAAUUUGUGAAUACUUAGAUGGUUAUACAGAUUAUAUAAUACCUCUUCAAUAUCUGGAGAAAAGAAGGGCUUUAACAUGUGUCAUUUCUACAUAAAUACUUGUGGAAUAUCAUAUCUUUACUGAAGAGUGGUUCAUGGUAGGAAUUGAAAAGUAAUUACAGGGACUAAGAGAUGGCUCUGUGGCUAACAGUGAGCACUGCUCUUGCAGAGGGACCUGCAUUCAGUUCCUAGCUCCUACUCUGGGCAGCUAACGGUCUUCUAUAGCUCCAGCUCCGGGGGAUCCAAUAUCUCUUUCUGUCCACACUGAAUACUGCAUUCACACAGCAUGCCCAUACAGAGACAUGCGCAUAAUCUGAAAAUAAGCCAAAUCUUUAAAAAGAAAAGAAAUUUGCUCCAGAAGACAUGAAACUUUCUUGUGGUCUCUGUGGUACACCCAUCUACCCACCCAGACAUUUACCCCACACAUACCCUUUCCCUUACCCACCCAUUGGUACACAC
rnacentral:lncRNA from 1 species